rnacentral:rRNA from 1 species
CACGGUGGAUGCCUUGGCACCAGAAGCCGAUGAAGGACGUUGGAGUCUGCGAAAAGCCUUGGGGAGCUGACAACCGAGCUGUGAUCCAGGGAUGUCCGAAUGGGGAAACCCGGCUGGAGUCAUGUCCAGUCACCUCCGCCUGAAUAUAUAGGGCGGUUGGAGGGAACGUGGGGAAGUGAAACAUCUCAGUACCCACAGGAAGAGAAAACAACAGUGAUUCCGGGAGUAGUGGCGAGCGAAACCGGAAGAGGCCAAACCGAUACUGCGUGAUAGGCGCCAGCCGUUGCAGUACCGGGGUUGAGGGACCUCUUGGACCGUUCUGGCGAGCGGUCAGACAGUAAGAAAUCGAUGUGGUAGGCGAAGGCCAUGCGAAAGGGCCGGCAUAGAGGGUAACGCCCCCGUAGCCGAAACUGCAUCGACUGUCGAGAGGGAUCCCAAGUAGCUC